rnacentral:rRNA from 1 species
GACAGAGGUGCCAAGCGUUAGGCGGAAUCACUGGGCUUAAAGCGUGUGUAGGUGGAUUUGUAAGUACCUUGUGAAAUCCCAUGGCUCAACCAUGGAACUGCUCGGUAUACUGCGAAUCUUGAGCCACUUAGGGGCUACCGGAACAAAUGGUGUAGCGGUGAAAUGCGUAGAUAUCAUUUGGAACGCCAAUGGUGAAAACAGGUAGCUGGGAGUGUGCUGACACUGAGACACGAAAGCCAGGGGAGCGAACGGG